GAAGAGAGAAGACAGAAGAGAGAAGAGAGAAGAGAAAGGCAAGCAAAAAGACCCAAAAUGCCACCACCAGGACCAGCACCACAACAGCAGCAGCACCACCACCCAACGACCACCUCUCAGAAUGGCGAGCACAGACCCACCCAGCGUCCACCGCCGCAACAACAACAGCACCACCACCACCAGCAUCAUCAUCCUUAUUAUCCAACAUCAUCCUCAUCAGCAUCCUUAAAAGGGUGUUGCUGUUGUCUCUUCCUUCUCUUCUCAUUCUUGGCUCUUCU
rnacentral:lncRNA from 1 species